UUUUUUCUUUUAACCACUGAGCAGUCUAGUUUGAAGAUUAAUAAGGCCAUUCUUCAUACUAAUUUCACACUUAAUGCAAUUUCAUGCUUUGGUAAAUUCCCUUACUCAAGUGCUCAGAUAGUACAGUGAUGCAUUCCACCAAACACACUUACAAACAAACUUGUCAACCUGCUACUGUCAAGAGUGAGAACACAUAAUCUGAACUUGUUCUAUUUUAAUGUUCACUCGAAUACUUGAUGCCUCCAGUCCAACAAGUCUCUGAACUUCUCUGGAACAAGAAAGGUAAGACACAUCCUAGUGCUUUCUCUGCAACUCUGAGGUGACUUCCAGAAAGUGUUUCUACAUGCUGUUUAAAGUCCAAGUUCACAACUCUUACCUGAAGGGGGGAAUUUAGCCUGGAACUCCUUUUUUAACCCCAAUAGUUCACAAACUAAAUCACUUUACCUCCCCAGAUUCUCAAACUCUUGUGUUAUAUUCUAACCUCCUUCUCCCUUUUCUAUAAAAAUAAAAUAAAAUAAAGGUCUUCUUAUGCUUCCACAUCCAUUUUCAUGAGCAAACUUUUCUAAUGUCAUUCAGCAGGUGUCACAGGAUUUCUGCAAAACUUACAAGACACCUUUUGUAAAUGAGAACUCUAACCGCUGAAGAGACUGAACAGCUGGGCAAGGGUCACACUGCAUGUGCAUCACUUGGACAUGCGAUGCAAUGUUUAAAUAAUUAUUAGAUUUUUUGCCCUUGAGGCCCUUCCUCUUUCAAACUUCCCUAGUACAAUUCUCAAAAUGCUGAAAUAAUCACAUUCCACGGACUUUCCUAUAAGAGGGUUUAUGGUGUCUUAUGAAUGCUGUUUUCCAGAAAAGCCUAUGCUGUCAACUUUGUUUUUCAAUGUCCUUAAGCAAUUCUAUUAGUCAUAGAGAAAAAGUGAGCAUUUGCUAAUGAUUAGAGAGAGAGAGAGAGAGAGAGAGAAAGCAUCUGAGUCCUAGGGCUGAGGAAGGGAGUGGCCAGAAUUGGUCUUAGCUGGGAGGGGAGAUAGAGACCAAGGCAACAACACCCAAAUUGGACCACAGAAAAGUUGUACUUCCCAAAGACAACUUCUAAUGUUUCGGUGGGUACUGAAGUUACAAGUAUCAGCAUUUUUACGAGAAAACGAAGCCUCAACCAGGGGCUCCAAGCAAAUGAAGAAGGAGUAAGGGAAUGUGCCUGACUGGAUUGCAAAACCUUUUCAAAAUCAGGUGCUCAGUGACAGCUAAAGGUGUCUUCCUUCAUAGCCUUUGGCCCUGGCUUGUGUGCAGACUCAGAUAAGAGGAAGAGACAGCAAAGGCAAAGCGCCUUCCUGUGCAGGCAGGCCUCCCUCAGGAGCUCUCCCCGCCCCUUCCUCCCUUCCCUCAGGCAGGGGCCCGCCCGCUCGAGGCUCGCUCCCCGGCC
rnacentral:lncRNA from 1 species